CCUACUGGAGGCAGCAGUAGGGAAUCUUCCGCAAUGGACCAAAGUCUGACGGAACAACCCCCCGUGAGUGAUGAAGGUUUUCGGAUCGUAAAACUCUGUUGUUAGGGAAGAACAAGUACCGUUCGAAUAGGGCGGUACCUUGACCGUACCUAACCAGAAAGCCACGGCUAACUACCUGCCAGCAGCCGCGGUAAUACCUAGGUGGCAAGCGUUGUCCGGAAUUAUUGGGCGUAAAGCGCGCGCAGGCGGUUUCUUAAAUCUGAUGUGAAAGCCCCCGGCUCAACCGGGGAGGGUCAUUGGAAACUGGGGAACUUGAGUGCAGAAGAAGAGAGUGGAAUUCCACGUGUAGUGGUGAAAUGCGUAGAGAUGUGGAGGAACACCAGUGGCGAAAGCGACUCUCUGGUCUGUAACUGACGCUGAGGCGCGAAAGCGUGGGGAACGAACAGGAUU
rnacentral:rRNA from 1 species